AUGCCCUCAAGUUCAUCUUGGACAACAAAGCAGAACAAAAAGUUUGAGAAUGCUUUGGCCAUCUAUGACAAGGAUACACCAGAUAGGUGGCAGAAGCUAGCGAAAGCUGUUGGAGGUAAGACAGUGGAAGAAGUGAAAAGACAUUAUGAGAUGUUGGUUCAAGAUUUGAAGCAGAUUGAAGAUGGUCAUGUUCCAUUACCAAAAUACAGAAAUUCUCCAACAAUAGGAGGAGAUAGCAUUAAAAGUUACACUUUUAUAGAUGAAGAACAAAGGUUGAAGUUUCUAAGCAUUCAGUGA